rnacentral:rRNA from 1 species
UACGGAGGAUGCGAGCGUUAUCCGGAUUUAUUGGGUUUAAAGGGUGCGUAGGCGGACUGUCAAGUCAGCGGUAAAAUUGAGAGGCUCAACCUCUUCCCGCCGUUGAAACUGGUGGUCUUGAGUGGAUGAGAAGUACGCGGAAUGCGUGGUGUAGCGGUGAAAUGCAUAGAUAUCACGCAGAACUCCGAUUGCGAAGGCAGCGUACCGGCAUCCAACUGACGCUGAGGCACGAAAGCGUGGGGAUCAAAGAGG